UAGGGAAUCUUCGGCAAUGGGGGGAACCCUGACCGAGCAACGCCGCGUGAGUGAAGAAGGUUUUCGGAUCGUAAAGCUCUGUUGUUAAGGAAGAACGUGUGUGAGAGUGGAAAGUUCACACAGUGACGGUACUUAACCAGAAAGGGACGGCUAACUACGUGCCAGCAGCCGCGGUAAUACGUAGGUCCCGAGCGUUGUCCGGAUUUAUUGGGCGUAAAGCGAGCGCAGGCGGUUAGAAAAGUCUGAAGUGAAAGGCAGUGGCUCAACCAUUGUAGGCUUUGGAAACUGUUUAACUUGAGUGCAGAAGGGGAGAGUGGAAUUCUAUGUGUAGCGGUGAAAUGCGUAGAUAUAUGGAGGAACACCGGUGGCGAAAGCGGCUCUCUGGUCUGUAACUGACGCUGAGGCUCGAAAGCGUGGGGAGCGAACAGGAUUAGAUACCCUGGUAGUCCACGCCGUAAACGAUGAGUGCUAGGUGUUAGGUCCUUUCCGGGACUUAGUGCCGCAGCUAACGCAUUAAGCACUCCGCCUGGGGAGUACGACCGCAAGGUUG
rnacentral:rRNA from 1 species